GCCCCGGUAGCUUAGCAGGUAGAGCGUGCGGCUGUUAACCGCAAAUCCUUUUUAACGUUGUUAAGAGGAGUAGAUGGUCACCAGUUCGAGUCUGGUCCGGGGCG
rnacentral:tRNA from 1 species